rnacentral:rRNA from 1 species
AUGCGAGUCUUUGUAGUAAUACAAGGCAUACGGCUCAGUAACGCGUAGUCAACCUACCCUAUGGACAAGAAUAAUCUCGGGAAACUGAGCAUAAUUCUUGAUAGAUCAUAAUGCCUGGAAUGGUUUAUGGUUAAAAUGAUUCGUCGCCAUAGGAUGGGACUGCGGCCUAUCAGCUUGUUGGUGAGGUAAUGGCCCACCAAGGCGAUUACAGGUACGGGCUCUGAGAGGAGAAGCCCGGAGAUGGGUACUGAGACAAGGACCCAGGCCCUAUGUGGGCGCAGCAGGCGAGAAAACUUUGCAAUGUGCGAAAGCACGACAAGGUUAGUCCGAGUGAUUUCUGCUAAAGAGAUCUUUUUGCUAGUUAUAAACCACUAGUGAAUAAGGGGUGGGCAAGUUCUGGUGUCA